UUGCCAGCCCAGGAGACUCUGAAGUCUUCCAUUAAUCCACAGAACAGGUACAGCCGCCUGGGCAGCAGCAGUAGUGCAAGGUGGUUAAGGCCUUGGAAACUAGCUCCAUCCUGAUUGGUUGGGAUCAUCUUUAGGAAAGAAAAGAUAGUUCAGAGGCUCCAUUCAUUCCAUAUUUGUCCUUU
ensembl:misc_RNA